UGUGGUUGGGUUUUCUACUAUGAGAAUCUCGCGGCCAAGGUGGUUUUGGACGACCAUUUCUGCGAUUUUCUCAUAGCAGAUGAACUAGCCCCA
rnacentral:pre_miRNA from 1 species